rnacentral:tRNA from 1 species
GGGUGUAGUUCAGAGGUAGAGUACUUGCUUAGCAAGUGCAAGACCCUGGAUUCAAUCCCCAGUAGUCCU